UUCCAACCAGAGCCAGGGGAGCUCUCAUGCUCAAAACCCUAAUGUGCAAGGAUUGAUCAAAUCAAGAGGCCAAAUCAAACCCAAAUCAAAAUCCAAGAACAAAUUAGUGAUCACCUUAGUGAAGUGAUCACAAGGCAAAGGAGCCGAGUCUUCAAGCGGACAAGCCGGAGCGGACACGCGCUUGAAAGGAACGCUUUAAAGGUGAUGAUGGAAACUAACCGGAAGAUGAUCGAGCAAACUUUUGAAGAACCGAACACUAUCUACAAGCUUCCGCAAUGUUUUAAAUCUUUACUAGACUUGGUUUACGGGUUGUAAACAAUUGUUAAACAACUUUUGAAAUGUUUUAACUUAGUCGUUGGUUGACUUAAGAUUUUGC